rnacentral:rRNA from 1 species
UACGUAGGUGGCAAGCGUUGUCCGGAUUUACUGGGCGUAAAGAGCGCGCAGGCGGUCGUUCAAGUCGCGUGUGAAAGCCCCCGGCUCAACUGGGGAGGGUCACGCGAUACUGAUCGACUCGAAGGCAGGAGAGGGAAGUGGAAUUCCCGGUGUAGUGGUGAAAUGCGUAGAGAUGUGGAGGAACACCAGUGGCGAAGGCGGCUCUUGGUCUGUAACUGACGCUGAGGCGCGAAAGCGUGGGGAUCAAACAGGG